GCUUACGGCCAUACCAACCUGGCUAUGCCCGAUCUCGUCUGCUCUCGGAAGCUAAGCAGGUUUGGGCCUGGUUAGUACUUGGAUGGGAGACCGCCUGGCAAUACCAGGUGCUGUAAGCU
ensembl:rRNA 5S_rRNA 5S ribosomal RNA